rfam:Oryza sativa (indica cultivar-group) chromosome 11, whole genome shotgun sequence.
AAAAAGACAAACCGCGGGUUUCCAUGCCAACGUUUGACUGUCCGUCUUAUAUGAAAAUUUUUUAUAAUUAGUAUUUUCAUUAUUGUUAGAUGAUAAAACAUGAUUAAUACUUUAUGCGUGACUUAUCUUUUUAUUUUUUUCAUAAUUUUUUCAAAUAAGACGGAUGGUCAAACGUUAGACACUGAAACAAGGUUUGUCUUUUU